rnacentral:rRNA from 1 species
CCUACGGGCGGCAGCAGUGGGGAAUAUUGGACAAUGGGCGCAAGCCUGAUCCAGCCAUGCCGCGUGAGUGAUGAAGGCCUUAGGGUUGUAAAGCUCUUUUGUCUGGGACGAUAAUGACGGUACCGGAAGAAUAAGCCCCGGCUAACUUCGUGCCAGCAGCCGCGGUAAUACGAAGGGGGCUAGCGUUGCUCGGAAUCACUGGGCGUAAAGGGCGCGUAGGCGGCCUUGUAAGUUGGGGGUGAAAGCCCGUGGCUCAACCACGGAAUUGCCUUCGAUACUGCUUGGCUUGAGUGUGGUAGAGGUGGGUGGAACUGCGAGUGUAGAGGUGAAAUUCGUAGAUAUUCGCAAGAACACCGGUGGCGAAGGCGGCCAACUGGACCAUCACUGACGCUGAGGCGCGAAAGCGUGGGGAGCAAACAGGAUUAGAUACCCUUGUAGUC